CAAGAGAUGAUCAUGCUCUCUUAUCAAUGGACACUAGAGGAUCAUUCAAAAUCCUUAGUGUAUCAAAGCCAUUUUGACAUGGUAUCUCUACUUUAGAGCUCUUGGGAUUGUUACCUUGCAUCACAGCCUUACCUUUCAUUUUCCAUUUGUUUCCAACUUUUGUCCAAGAUGUAGUGCCAAGUUCCGUUGGGAUUGGAGUUUCUC
rnacentral:lncRNA from 1 species